UACCCGGUGGCCAACUGGGUUACGCUUUUGGCUUUCACCCACAAGGUCAGGGGUUCAAACCCCCGGUGGCAAA